rnacentral:tRNA from 1 species
AGCGUGGUAGCUUAGAGGUCAAGCACUUGACUUGCAAUCUGCAGGUCCUGGGUUCGAAUCCCACCAUGUAC